GCCCUUGUAGCUCAGCGGUAGAGCACUCCCUUGGUAAGGGAGAGGUCUCGGGUUAAAGUCCCGACUAGAGCA
rnacentral:tRNA from 1 species